UCUGACAAGUCUCCUUUUCUCCAAAUACAGGCCUCUAAGACUGCAGAGAAUGCCACCAGUGGGGAAACAUUAGAAGACAAUGAAGCUGGGGACUGAGGACCGCCAGCAGAGCAGGGUCUCCCUGUCCCCAUCCCAGUACCCCCACCCAGCCCUUCCAACAACAACCAGCUCCAACUGACUGCUCUUGGGAAGCCAGGCUUCCCAAUACCGAAGACUACUUUAAAUAGAAAAAAAGAAAUGGAAUAAUAAAAUCAGGAGUCAAAAGUCCAUCGUCUUCAAGCCCUCUUUCUAGCCUUUUCUACUACUCUGCUUGGUCAAGGUGUGUGGCCCUGCAGCAGAACAGGGAGGAGGCUAAAUUAGCCACCAUCAUUAAAACUUCAGCUGAAAAAAAAUUUUUUUUAUACCACUCUGAUAUCAGCAUUUUCUCAUCUACUUGGGGCUUUUUUUCCCCCCUCUUAUUGCCCCACUUUGCCCGAGCAUUUUGUCUGCCCUCAAAAUUACUAAAGAGGACCUGUUCUUCAGAUUAUUUUUACCUGUGGCAGAUGCAUCCAUUUGGGCCUUCCUUAGGAACUGAAGUCUCCCUUUUAUGAAGAGAUUCUCAUCUAUCAAGUGGAUCCCUGUUCGAAUGGUUUUUUUUUUUUUUUUUGUCAUUUUUGUUCUGCAAGAUGUCCCCUCUGUGCACGCACCCCUAAUUUCCACAAAGCGUAAAGAAAUAAUCCAGUUCAGCCUUUACUCCAGUCAGUGGGGGCUUCCCUUGCUCUCUCUUACACAACCUAAGCUGGAAGUUCAACUGUGGUUUAUACCCUGUUUGAACUAUCUUGACCUCUCUCACUGGAAAGAACCCAGAAACCAGAAGAGUACACUGAAGAGUCAACUCCUAGCCUUCUGAAGCUGUGGACUUAGGAUUGGAUGAGUUGCUAGGGGUUUUUAGACCUGACAAAAUUCAAUACCUCUGGCAUGCUGACCCAGGGAACUAGGGCUCCCACUAACUUAGGAGGUUUUUAAGAUGACAUUAAAAUAAAUUUGGAUUUGCUCAUAA